rnacentral:misc_RNA from 1 species
CAACCCUCAAGCUCUGCUUGGUAUUGGGCGUCACCGGCUCUGGUGCGCCUUAAAAUCAGUGGCGGUGCCAUUCGGCUUCAAGCGUAGUAAUUCUUCUCGCUUUGGAAAAGAUGUGACGCUGCCAACAACCCCUAAUACUUCAA